UCAAUGGUGGUUCAGUGGUAGAAUUCUCACCUUCCGUGUGGGAGACCCAGUUUGAUUCCUGGCCAAUGCA
rnacentral:tRNA from 1 species